rnacentral:rRNA from 1 species
UAGGGAAUAUUGGGCAAUGGGCGGAGGCCUGACCCAGCCAUGCCGCGUGCAGGAAGACGGCGUUCUGCGUUGUAAACUGCUUUUACACGGGAAGAAAAGGCCCAUGCGUGGGACAUUGCCGGUACCGUGUGAAUAAGCACCGGCUAACUCCGUGCCAGCAGCCGCGGUAAUACGGAGGGUGCGAGCGUUGUCCGGAUUUAUUGGGUUUAAAGGGUGCGUAGGCGGCCCUUUAAGUCGGCGGUGAAAGUUUAUGGCUCAACCAUGAAAUUGCCGUUGAUACUGGGGGGCUUGAGUGCCGGUGGGGUACAUGGAAUUUAUGGUGUAGCGGUGAAAUGCAUAGAUACCAUAAGGAACACCGAUAGCGAAGGCAUUGUACUUACCGGCGACUGACGCUGAGGCACGAAAGCGCGGGUAGCGAACAGG